rnacentral:rRNA from 1 species
AGAGUUUGAUCCUGGCUCAGAACGAACGCUGGCGGCAGGCUUAACACAUGCAAGUCGAGCGCCCCGCAAGGGGAGCGGCAGACGGGUGAGUAACGCGUGGGAACGUACCCUCUGGUUCGGAAUAACUCAGGGAAACUUGAGCUAAUGCCGGAUACGGCUGAGAGGCGAAAGAUUUAUCGCCGGGGGAUCGGCCCGCGCCCGAUUAGCUAGUUGGUGGGGUAACGGCUCACCAAGGCGACGAUCGGUAGCUGGUCUGAGAGGAUGAUCAGCCACAUUGGGACUGAGACACGGCCCAAACUCCUACGGGAGGCAGCAGUGGGGAAUAUUGGACAAUGGGCGCAAGCCUGAUCCAGCCAUGCCGCGUGAGUGAUGACGGCCUUAGGGUUGUAAAGCUCUUUCGCCAGGGACGAUAAUGACGGUACCUGGAUAAGAAGCCCCGGCUAACUUCGUGCCAGCAGCCGCGGUAAUACGAAGGGGGCUAGCGUUGUUCGGAAUUACUGGGCGUAAAGCGCGUGUAGGCGGGUCUUUAAGUCAGGGGUGAAAUGCCAAGGCUCAACCUUGGAACUGCCUUUGAUACUGGAGAUCUUGAGUCCGGGAGAGGUGAGUGGAACUGCGAGUGUAGAGGUGAAAUUCGUAGAUAUUCGCAAGAACACCAGUGGCGAAGGCGGCUCACUGGCCCGGAACUGACGCUGAGACGCGAAAGCGUGGGGAGCAAACAGGAUUAGAUACCCUGGUAGUCCACGCUGUAAACGAUGGAUGCUAGCCGUUGGGGAGCUUGCUCUUCAGUGGCGCCGCUAACGCAUUAAGCAUCCCGC